rnacentral:misc_RNA from 1 species
GUGUUUAUGGUGUUGUUUAUCUGGCGAUCUAUUCGUCCUCGGUUGUCGGUGGUCUUCGGUUGUUCGGUGCGUUCGGUGUGGUGUUUAAAAGGUUUAAACAGCUGUUUUUAGUGCAGCAUUCGAGCUCAUGAUACGAGAAAGAACUGUUUUUCUUGGCUGCCAUAAUCAGGCUUGACUGCACGUGCGCUGAACGUUGGUGCUGGUUUUCAGCUGUGAGCCGAUGGGCUCAGACGCAUCGCCAGGAUGUCAUCGAGUCCGUUGAGCCACAUCGUUUGCGAAGCUGUCGGAGCUGAAGAACAUGCCACUCAGUCCGUGUCCCAGGGUGCCGACUCUACUGGUGACGAAACGGCUGAGGCCUCGCGUUCGGCGGACCAGUCCAAAAUGGCGUCCUGCGUGCCAGGGGAGCAGAUGGAUCUCCCGGAGCGUCCGGAAUUGGAGGAGAGCUCAGACUUGGUCAUCUGUGAGCCCGAAGCCUCGCAGAUUGAGGAGGUGAGCAGGGAGCUGAUGAUACUGAAUGACGAGGGUGCUCGGUGCCUCCGGCUGAGUGCUGAGGCUGGCAACGCUGCUCCGGCGGAGAGCCCCCCGCGUAAGCGACUCCGGGAGGAGCGCCGAAAGAAGGGAAAGAGGCGCAAGCCCCGGAAGCCCCCGCCGCCUGAGACGGACCUGGACCGUUUUCUCGAGGACACGGCUGAGAAGAACAACCUGACCAUCCAGAAUGUCAAGAACAUCAUCAGGAGGGUGGUGACCAAUGAGCGUGUGCUGGCCAUGCUGAGGAAAAGCAUGCUGUGCCACGUGUCUGCUGAGGCAGCCGGCAUCGACCUGGACAGCAUGGAGUACGAGCCCAAGUUCACCCGGGCCAAGGCACGCGAGAUAAUGGAGAAGCAGCCCCACCUCCUGUGGCCGGUGUCUCCCAUGAAGCUGUCGAGCGGCUCCAGCUCCCAGAAGCUGCUGCAGCAGGAAUUCUCUGAGGAGAGCGGCUCCGACGAGGAGUACCAGCCGGCUUCCGAGGAGAGCGAGGAGGACACGGAGGCUCCCUCUUCUGUGGGCACCUGUGAGGUGUUCUCUCCCGUCGCGUCUGAAGCCGCCCUCGAGACCCCUGAGAAGAGGGACGCGUCGGCGGAUGCCACGGCCUCUCAGGAAAGCCCGCUCUAUGACAAGGACGGCGGGGUGGUAGCGGAACGCACGCGGUCUAAGCUACCGCUGGACGACACCCCGCUGGAGUUCCUCGAGGCACAGUUCAUCGCCCCCGACAUCACCCCGGACAUGUACGACACGGACUGCGACGACGAAGAGUGGAAGGAGUUCCUUGUGUCCCUCAUCAAGCCCUUCGAACGCGAGGACGUCCAGGAGGACAAUGACGCUGAGGACCCUGAGUACAACGCCCAGGAAGAAGAGGACGAAACGGACUCGUGGGACCUGCGCAACGACCGGGGCGUCACAAUUCCCCGCAAGGAGCUGAACGAGCUGGUCACAGAGGUGAUGCAGGUGGCCACCAAGGAGCUGCUGGAUGGCGAGGACGAGGACGAAAUCACCCCCAUCAAGGCCAAGGACGGGGCCCCCGGCUGCACGGGGGUCGGCUCGGGCGAGCUUUCGGAGGCGGAGAUCUUCCUGGAGGCGACGGAGAGCGUCCAGCGGGAGUGCGACGCACAGCCGACGCCCCGCCAGAUUCAGCAGCUCGAGGAGCAGAUGCGCAUGCACGUGCAGCUGCUGACUCAGAUGUGCCUGCUGUGCAGCAACAGUGAUGUCCUCGCUCCCUACUUCAACAUGUCCGAGGUGCUGCUGCGGGAGCUGGAGACGUUUGCGCUGCGGCCCCUGCCAGCGACAGUCCGGCCGUCGCUCUUCCUGGCGUCCAACCUGCAGCAGGCGGUGCGUCUGCUUGACUGGGUGCCCCGUGCCCCCGGCGUCGUUGGAGCACCACCCAGGACGGGCGUCCACGUCCUGAGACGCAGCACCCUCAAGAUUCCAAUUCCCUCACACGUCCGGGAGCUGUUUGCGGAGAGCCCCGUGUUCCUGUACCCAGAGCUGCUUCCGACCAACCGCAUGUACAGCCCGCUGAAUGACCCCAACCACAAGGUCAUCUUCCUCUCUCCGGAGGACCACCUGGUUGCCCUGGGACUGGAGCAGUUUGUGCCCCCACGCUGCUCCACGUUCGGGAUGACGUACCUGCGCCUGAUCCGCACCUUCCUGCUGCCAGUCAAGACGGAGGUGCAGAUCAAGGUGCGCGUCAAGAACAUCAUCUACAAGAAAGUCGGCGAGGACAACCCCAUCAAGUACUGGCACGUGCACAAGGUGGCGCCCCCGCUGACCUGGGAGCCGCACCGCAUCGACCCAGCGGAGGCGGUAGCCCCCAGCCAGCGUCCAGUUGAGGAGCUGCCCCUGUGGAUGCGGCUGUACCUGAUGGCACGCCACAAGCGGCGCGCCGCACCCCCCGCCCCGCUGCCGGCCUCCCCGUCCCCGAUCCGUCCCGCGGAGACGGCCCUCCCGGUCGUGGGCGUCUGCUCCCCCGGCGUAAUCUCGGUGGCCACCAUCCCGGUCGUGGUGCACACGCGCUGCGUCCUAACGCCGGUGUCCGUCACCCUGACGCCCGCGGUGUCGCCCCGGCACCAUGUCGGCACCUCGGUGUCGCCCCUCAAGCAAAUCUCGCCGAUCCUCAAGAAGUACAGCCAGUACGGGCGCAAGAUCCUCAAGGCGCCGGCCAAGAAGAGGCUCAUCUACGACCUCUCAGGACCGUCGGCCGCGAGUGCGGCGCCAGGGAGCUCUUCGGCGCCAAGGGUAAGGUGCGAGAAGGCGACCGCGGAGGAAGAGAAGGCGCCGGAGCAGCCAGCGGACGAGCGGCCGCCGGACGAACCGUUGCCGGGGGCGCCCGAGGAGGCGGAGGACGACGAGGGGGACUUGGCGGCGCUGAUGGCGGCCAGCAGCACGAUCCUGCGGCGCAAGCAGGCCCUGAGUCGCAAGCGGACGCGCCAGCAGAGGGACGCCCAGGCCACCCUGCCCCUGCUCGAGCCGGACCUCGUGGAUGCCGACCCCCUGAAGGAGGAGCGGGAGAGCCAGUUCGCUCAGCAGUACUUGCAGAGGGUUCACGAGGCGCUGAAGCACGACCCGCCCCGUCUGCUGCGUGUGCUGAAUCUUCUCAGCAAGGCAGAGACCAGCGGAAUCAGUCCCGCGGAGCUGUACCACGGGAUGGCGGAGCUGCUGCUGCCAGACCACCCGGACGUGGUGGAGGACUUUGUGAGCUUCCUCCUGCCGGAGCAGGCCCUGGAGUGCGGCAAGCUGCCCCAGUACCUGCUCUUCAGCAGGAUACGCCUCUUCCUCAGGAAGCUAGAGGUGCACCUGAGCCAGCAGCCCCAGCAGCUUCAGCGCCUACUGCGCUCCCUGCACCAGCUUCAGCGGCAGCCUGAGCUGAGCUUGGACUCCCUGUGCGGGGUGCUGCAGCCCCUGUUGAGGGGCCAGAGCCACCUGUUGGACGAGCUGCAGCAGCUGCUGCCCAGUCACAGGGUGCCCGACAGCCUGAUGUGGGACUUUGAGGAGGUCCCCCUGCCGGAAGAGGAGGAAGAGGACGCCAGCAGCUGCGAGGAGCUGACCCUGUCCCCUCCCAGGGACGCCCCCGGCACACCCCAGUGUCCCUGCUCCUGCCACCUGCAGGCACAGGACCCCCGCUUCCUCAGCAGAGCGCGGCACUGCACGCGCUGCGGCAUCAAGUUCCUGGACGGCCGCGUCUUCCUGCAGACCGGGAAGGUGUUGCGGCCAGCCAAGGUCACCGUCCGCCAUCUUGGGCCGCCCGAGGUGGAUGCAGCGGGCGUUCUUGACCGUCGGCCUUCGGAGAGGCCAGACGAGGGUUCAAGGACGAGUGGCAGUGCAGAUGGGGGAGAGGCCCGCAAGGGUAGUCCAGGCGCCCCUGUCACUCCCUGGACAAGGGAGGAGGACCGGAUUUUGCUGCAGGCCUGUCAGCGCAUGGGCAGGGAGAAAGGCCUUGCCCACACAGCGCAGGCUUUGGGAAGACCUCAGGAACAGCUGGGCCUGAGGCUGAGGGAACUGGUGCGCCUCUUCGAGGCAAGCAAAAGUGACGACGAAGACACGUGACCCCAGCGUUGCCUGACCGGAGUUCUCCGAAUUGCGUGACUCUUCGCCUUCGCCAUUAUUGGGCCGACUUGGGAGUCUGAAGCCGGUGGCAGCUGCAGAAUUGGGCCUUGCCUUGUGCAGAAUUGGGCCUGGCCUUGUGCGCAAACUUUCUACCUUUGACGACACUUGGGCGCCCGCUCGGCGGGAGCUCGACUGAGGGCAGCGGGCACAUGUGGGAAGAGGAGCUUCUGUUGAUUUCUUACCAUGUCACCGGAUAUAGUUAUUUGUGUUUCUCCCAUUAUUUAUAUUAUGGACACAGUUGCAGGCUGUUCCCAAUGCAGCUCCAGCAUUCUUGGAGAUGAAAUAGUCUUCGGUGGGGGUAUUACAUGGGUACCUGGUUGUGACAGUGGUGCCCUUGAAAGGUUUGUCAUGGAAUGAGAAAAUUGGAAAAAAAACAUGGGCUGCACAGACAUUUACAACCGUGGAAAACAAGUGCAGCGUCUAAAAGUUCACAGAUUCGCGAGCAUAUGUUUGCAGGUAGUUUCCUUUGCAAGAUUCGCUGGUCACAAGCUUGGCAAAGUGGAAGUGUGACCCUGCUCUGUGCCCUUUUUAAGGCAAUUAUUAUAAACAAGAAAUCAAUGUUUUUUUCUUGAAAUUUUAUUUUAUUUGUUAUGCAAACUUGUAAAGUGCAGAAUCAAGUGAUUCAUACUUUUCACCCUCGCCAGAAUAAACAGCUUCACUUGA